GAUGAACGCUGGCGGCGUGCUUAACACAUGCAAGUCGAGCGAAGCACUUAAGACAGGUUCUUCGGAUGAAGUCUUCUGUGACUGAGCGGCGGACGGGUGAGUAACGCGUGGGUAACCUGCCUCAUACAGGGGGAUAACAGUUAGAAAUGACUGCUAAUACCGCAUAAGACCACGGUACCGCAUGGUACAGUGGUAAAAACUCCGGUGGUAUGAGAUGGACCCGCGUCUGAUUAGGUAGUUUGUGGGGUAACGGCCUACCAAGCCGACGAUCAGUAGCCGACCUGAGAGGGUGACCGGCCACAUUGGGACUGAGACGCGGCCCAGACUCCUACGGGAGGCAGCAGUGGGGAAUAUUGCACAAUGGAGGAAACUCUGAUGCAGCGACGCCGCGUGAAGGAUGAAGUAUUUCGGUAUGUAACUUCUAUCAGCAGGGAAGAAAGUGACGGUACCUGACUAAGAAGCCCCGGCUAACUACGUACCAGCCGCCGCGGUAAGAC
rnacentral:rRNA from 1 species